GAUGAACGCUGGCGGCGUGCCUAAUACAUGCAAGUCGAGCGAACAGAUGAGGAGCUUGCUCCUCUGACGUUAGCGGCGGACGGGUGAGUAACACGUGGAUAACCUACCUAUAAGACUGGGAUAACUUCGGGAAACCGGAGCUAAUACCGGAUAAUAUAUUGAACCGCAUGGUUCAAUAGUGAGAGACGGUUUUUCUGUCACUUAUAGAUGGAUCCGCGCCGCAUUAGCUAGUUGGUAAGGUAACGGCUUACCAAGGCAACGAUGCGUAGCCGACCUGAGAGGGGGAUCGGCAACACGGCAGCGGGGACACGUACCCACUCCUAAGGGGAGGCAGAGGUAGGAAUCCUUCGGCAUGGGGCAAAGGCGUAAGGGGGAAACGCGGCGUGAGUGUGGAAGUGCUUGGACUCGUAAACCAUGGUUGUAGGGAAGAACAAAUGUGUAAGUAACUAUGCACGUCUUGACGGUACCUAAUCAGAAAGCCACGGCUAACUACGUG
rnacentral:rRNA from 1 species